rnacentral:rRNA from 1 species
GAUGAACGCUGGCGGCGUGCCUAAUACAUGCAAGUCGAGCGAACGGACGAGAAGCUUGCUUCUCUGAUGUUAGCGGCGGACGGGUGAGUAACACGUGGAUAACCUACCUAUAAGACUGGGAUAACUUCGGGAAACCGGAGCUAAUACCGGAUAAUAUUUUGAACCGCAUGGUUCAAAAGUGAAAGACGGUCUUGCUGUCACUUAUAGAUGGAUCCGCGCUGCAUUAGCUAGUUGGUAAGGUAACGGCUCACCAAGGCAACGAUGCAUAGCCGACCUGAGAGGGUGAUCGGCCACACUGGAACUGAGACACGGUCCAGACUCCUACGGGAGGCAGCAGUAGGGAAUCUUCCGCAAUGGGCGAAAGCCUGACGGAGCAACGACGCGUGAGUGAUGAAGGUCUUCGGAUCGUAAAACUCUGUUAUUAGGGAAGAACAUAUGUGUAAGUAACUGUGCACAUCUUGACGGUACCUAAUCAGAAAGCCACGGCUAACUACGUG